CGUCGCCCUCACUGCGCCACCGUCGUCCUCGUCACAGAGCCAGCCGCCGCAACUUAUAGCAAAUUCAGAGAGAUGGAACUCAGGAAGAGAGGAGACAGAGAGCUCGGAGACUGAGCUAGGGUUCAACCACCGUGCCCAGCCGUGCUCGCGUCGUCGGUGCCGUUUUCGUCGAAACUACCGCCGUUUGAGGGGCUAUGCUUGGCUGCCGUUGUGCUGCCCUGCUUCACCGUGGCUGAGCUCCGCUACCCCCUGAUCUUUGGGCUUGUGGUGCUGAUGCGGGAAUUACUACAGGAAGAGAAGAACACGAAGAGGAGAAACUGGGAUCGUUGUUGUCGCCAUCGCUGCUGAAGACCAGCCACCGCGCCGAGCUUUUACCGUCACCAUUCUGCCCGGUGUCGCCAGCACUGAAGUCGGCUGCUACCACCGUCAAGCCUUGUUGGAACUGGUGUUGCUUUUGGAGGUUUGGAAGGGAGGCUUGCUCGGAUUUGCUUCUGGUCCUGGUUCUCACAGCUGCCGGAGCCUCUGCCACCAUCAGAACUGCCAUUGAAACUAUUGAUUUGGUUCCAAUUCCUCCAUUUUUGAGACUUGCUGCAUCUCUAUUUUCCCUAUUUACUGCUAGAACUAUCAUAGGGAAUACUGUUGAUGUCAUCAGGAAACUGUUAGAGCUGCUGUUGUUGCUGAUGCGAUUUAGAACGAAGUUGGAGUCACGUUUAAUUUUGUGGAUUUUGACUAACUGAGUGACACAGGUUCGAAGACUCCGUUUGAAGCUGCAGGCGAUUAUAGAUCUUAUUUAUGAGUUAAGUUUAUGACUUGAGUUAUUUUCAUAGAAUUUCCCUCGCCCUUGUUACUUUGGUUUUUAUUUUAUACAGAGGGAUAGGAUUUGUAUGUGAGUUUUAUUUGAAAUCUUUUGUAUGACAGAUAUUAUUAUUAAUAAUUAUGUGAUUAUUAUUACUUGGUGAUGCUUGCUAUA